ACACAAGGCAGUCAUGUAACACAGCUUUGGUGUGCUGCCUAAAGCAUUAGUAAUGACAAGGUUCAGUGCCAUUGUACAUCUGUUCCAGGAAUUCCUGGGAAAAGCAUGGGAACUUGGUUUAAAUGAGAAAUCAUAAGUUCAUGUUGUGGAUUCCUUACAAUAUUAAAUACAGUUUACAAUUUCUUUUUUAUUUUUCUUCUGCCCUCUUGACUUCAAUACCUCUGUCACUGGUUCCUCUCUUUAAACCAGAAGCUGUUGUGGAUGGAAACGAUAUCUACACAGUAUUUGUUGGAGCACCUCGUUCUUGACAGGCAGCCCUUGGCACUGCCUCAACAAUGCCACAGCACCAGAUGAGAUUUUUCAGUGACAGACAGGCAAUACCUUUUUCAACUGAACCAACAGAGCUGGAUUUAGAUGCUGCAGGAGCCUGAUGGAGACAACAAAAAUUCUGGUGCAGGAGACCUGACAAGUUCAAGACCUGGUUCUGGUCUGGAUGCCAGUUGUUUCACAGAGUACAAGAGACAAAGAAUUGUCCAGGCACUGUGUGAUGGUGCUGAAAGGUAAAGGGUAAUAUCAUUAAGGAGAAGAACCCUACUGGAUAAUUUUAGUUAUAGAAUCAAUUUUUUUUUCACAGAAGGACUAAAAAGAUAUACCUUUGUCAUCAUGUGUUUUAUCCACCCAAGUGUCCUUGUUUCAAAAAGUAUUGCUGGGUAAUGGAAUAAGAGAAUCAAUUCUAAAGAAUUACAUUGCAGCACCCUGAGCCAUGGAAACAUUGCACAGAUUUCACGAUUUCUGUUGUAUCAUAACAGCAGCACUUGUUUCCUCAAAGUUAAACAUGAGAAUCCCCUUCAUUUUGUUCCUGUUUAUCAUGGGUUUAAACCUUCACCUUCAGAAAAGAGUCAAAUGGUGGGAAGCAAAGGAAAGAAAAAUAUCUUUUAGUAUCUCGCAGUUUGUACGUGUCGUGUGCUGUUGAACUCCUUGGAGCUGCCCAGCUCCAAUCACUUCUCAUCUGUCGAUUUUUUCUACACAAGCACAGAAAAGCAACUUUUUAUGUCAGAGUGAUGAGCCACUAGAGGCACGACAGUCAGAACUUCAUAGUGGACCUGAUUGUGAACAAGAAAUGUACCUUUUCCUUGGCGGGGGUUAUAAAUUGGCACUUACUGGAGUAAGUGCCAUUGGAAUAGCAGCUUCCUGAAAGAGCCAUGAUGGCAGGAUACUCCUUGGAGGGAUGUCAGUGAGCUG